UACGGAGGGGGCGAGCGUUAUUCGGAAUUACUGGGCGUAAAGCGUGCGCAGGCGGUCUGUUAAGACAGAUGUGAAAUCCCCGGGCUUAACCUGGGAACUGCAUUUGUGACUGGCAGGCUAGAGUAUGGCAGAGGGGGGUAGAAUUCCACGUGUAGCAGUGAAAUGCGUAGAGAUGUGGAGGAAUACCGAUGGCGAAGGCAGCCCCCUGGGCCAAUACUGACGCUCAUGCACGAAAGCGUGGGGAGCAAACAGG
rnacentral:rRNA from 1 species